GUCCAGACUCCUCGGGAGGCAGCAGUGGGGAAUAUUGGGCAAUGGGCGCAAGCCUGACCCAGCAACGCCGCGUGAAGGAAGAAGGCUUUCGGGUUGUAAACUUCUUUUCUCAGGGACGAAGAAAGUGACGGUACCUGAGGAAUAAGCCACGGCUAACUACGUGCCAGCAGCCGCGGUAAUACGUAGGUGGCAAGCGUUAUCCGGAUUUACUGGGUGUAAAGGGAGCGCAGGCGGCACGGCAAGCCUGAUGUGAAAGCCCGCGGCCCAACCGCGGGACUGCAUUGGGAACUACCGGGCUGGAGUGCCGGAGAGGUAGGCGGAAUUCCUAGUGUAGCGGUGAAAUGCGUAGAUAUUAGGAGGAACACCAGUGGCGAAGGCGACUUUCUGGACUGUACCUGACGCUGAGGCGCGAAAGCGUGGGUAGCGAACGGGAUUAGAUACCCCAGUA
rnacentral:rRNA from 1 species